rnacentral:rRNA from 1 species
UACGUAGGCAGCAAGCGUUGUUCGGAGUUACUGGGCGUAAAGGGUGCGUAGGCGGCUUCUUAAGUCUGGUGUGAAAUCUCCCGGCUCAACUGGGAGGGUGCGCCGGAUACUGAGGGGCUAGAGUGUGGGAGAGGAAAGUGGAAUUCCUGGUGUAGCGGUGAAAUGCGUAGAUAUCAGGAGGAACACCGGUGGUGUAAACGGCUUUCUGGACCAUAACUGACGCUGAGGCACGAAAGCGUGGUAGCAAACAGG